rnacentral:rRNA from 1 species
GAUGAACGCUGGCGGCGUGCCUAAUACAUGCAAGUCGAGCGAACAGACGAGGAGCUUGCUCCUCUGACGUUAGCGGCGGACGGGUGAGUAACACGUGGAUAACCUACCUAUAAGACUGGGAUAACUUCGGGAAACCGGGGCUAAUACCGGAUAAUAUAUUGAACCGCAUGGUUCAAUAGUGAAGGACGGUUUUGCUGUCACUUAUAGAUGGAUCCGCGCCGCAUUAGCUAGUUGGUAAGGUAACGGCUUACCAAGGCAACGAUGCGUAGCCGACCUGAGAGGGUGAUCGGCCACACUGGAACUGAGACACGGUCCAGACUCCUACGGGAGGCAGCAGUAGGGAAUCUUCCGCAAUGGGCGAAAGCCUGACGGAGCAACGCCGCGUGAGUGAUGAAGGUCUUCGGAUCGUAAAACUCUGUUAUUAGGGAAGAACAAAUGUGUAAGUAACUAUGCACGUCUUGACGGUACCUAAUCAGAAAGCCACGGCUAACUACGUG